GGGGGCGUUCCGGUUUCGACUAGAUAUUGGAAACGCUGGCUGCAUGUAGAGGUUGAUCGGUUGGCCUCUCAAAAAAGCCGUUCAAAACAAAUAAUUGCAGACUCUAACGAGCUCGCACUUGCUGCUUAAUUGACAGCAACGUCCCAAUCUUGAUGCCUGUUAGGGUGCGGGGCGACUACUUAGCAGGCUGGCGCAUCGAGUCGGGCAUCCGGGCAAGAUCGUGAGAAUCCACAGGAUGAUCGGAACAGUGAACGGGCCGGGUGAGGCUCAUCGUUCUUAAAGCAGAAGACGCCUGGCUAAACAUGUAGACGCUUUUGUAGAAGCUAUCUAGGACAGGGGUUCGACUCCCCUCGCCUCCACCA
rnacentral:tmRNA from 1 species